AGCCUUUUAGUCGAGACAACAGAAACCCGGCAGUUGCACAAAAAAAAAAAUCAUGUUGUGGAAGAAUAGCAGAUGCGGCUUUCCAGGAUUUACAUUACAUAUUUUAUACCCAAAACUCAACAUGUGAGGUAUAUGUUCCUUCCUUUUAAAACUUAGAGAACAUUUAGACUGUCUCAACUAACAGAUUAGUAAUAUUACUUCAAAAAGUGGUAAAUGGCUCCUGUCAGCUACCAAGUUGAUUAUUUCAGACCGUACAUUUGUCAUGGAAAGAAUGACACUUUGGUUUCUCAUUAAUUCUUCUUUUUUUUUAAUUGUACAUGGACACAAUACUUUUAUUUUAUUUAUUUUUAUGUGGAGCUGAAGAUUGAACCCAGGGCCUUGCACGAGCAAGGCAAGUGCUCUACCACCGAGCCACAACCCCAGCUGGGUUUCUCAUUAAUUCUUGAUGUGGAUUUGUCCUCCCUCCUAUGAUGCACCCUCAGAUUUACAAUGUGCCUCAUUCUCUUUCAUGAUUUCCACACAAACAUCAAUUCUGACAAAUUCACUUUACAAGAAGGACUGCAAUGGGUUCAUGUUUAUGGAAACCACUUAUCUUACAUUAACCAUUAGCCUGCAUUGUUUGCCUAUGAGAGGUUUAGAUUGGCACUUUGAAGACUUUGUUACAAAGACAUAUUGGGGGCACACUUUGCAGGAUGACGGUAUGUAUUCUCCAGGAUGCAGUGUAUGCUCUAGAUGAGUUACCAGAAUGUGGUAUUGUUUUUCCUUUUGUUAGGAUUGAUAGGUAUGGGAAUCAUGGGGUGGGAAUGCAAGUGCUUAAUCUGUGACACAGGUCUCUACUGGUAUAGCGGUCUUAGACUAGAAAGGUAGAAAUGCUUCUACCAGGAGACACAGUCAAACAUCAUUCAAUUGAAAGGAACAGGGAAAAGAAGGAGCUUAUUUUCCUUGAAUAUCAAGGAAGUAAGGAAGAGUAGGUGUGAAUUCAGGAGAUCCCUCAUGUACUUGCUUAGAACUCCCAUAUCCUACAUCAGUGGAAGCAGGAGUGACUCAAUAGAGGCAGCAAUUCUUAUGAAAUAGUCCUUCAUAAAUAUUUAGGUCACCCUACUAGGCAUGAAACCAUCACCCAUCAAAUUACUCAUCAAGGCCUUAAUGGAUGUGAGGGUGUGGUAGAAAAUGGUUAUUAAAUACCAGCUAUGAUCUAUUUUACAAGUUGUAGAAAUGAUGUGAUGGACAUGAAUAGUCUUCCAUAUUUUUGGUAAGUAUGUUUGUGUGCAGGCACAUAUGUGCUUGUGCACAAAUUUAAGUCAUAUGUACAUUAUCAUUUUCUUCCUCUUGUACACACAUAUUAUAGUUGUCACCUCGAAUGUUUCCAAGGUCUCACAUGCACGGAGGUGGAACUUUAAGGCAAUGAUUGGAUCAUGAGGGCUUUGAACACUAAUAGCUGGAUGGACACUGGGAGGUGUAAGCCAGUUGGAGGAGCAAAUCACUGGGGGCAUGUCCUGGAAGGACUUUUCUUCUCCCCAGACCCUUUCUUUCUUUCACGAGCAGCUUUCUUUUGCCAUGUUCUUCUUCUGUGAAGUUCUGACUCAGCUCUGGUCAAAACCAAUAGAAUCAACCAAUUAUAGACCAAAUCUUCUGAAACUAUAAGCCAAAGUAAAUCUUUUUUCCUUUAAGUUUUUCUUGUCAGAUAUUUUGUUCACAUUGGUGAAAAUUUGACUCCACAAUAGGUAAGUAUACUUUUUCAUCUUUGCUCUUGUUCUUCUGCCAUCAGACAUGUAUUAAUAGUAGGAAGCAACAUAUAUUAGUACCUAUAUUAUGGAGUACCAAAAAGGGGCCACAAUUCAGCAAGAACAGGAAUAAACAUUACCCAAAGAUGGAAAAGUUUUUGUAUUCUCUUUCUGGGAGAAGGUAGUAUGGGUUUUGGUUACAUGAGAUAUAUUUGUGCCACGUUAAAUAGAAUCAUGGUUGUGCCAAUGCAUUUAUUUGAGAAUGAUUGAAAGAGAGAAUAUUAAGUAAUGUGUUGACAAAAGAUGGCCUGUGGUGGCUUUUUUGGAUAUCAACUUAGUUUGAACUAAGUGGCUCAGCAUCCUCUCCAUAUAUCGUCCUAGGUUCUCUGUUAGGGUUAGCCACAAGUGACAAUUGUAUGUGAUUUGUAGUCUGCCACAGUUGCAGUUCACAUAGUUUGUGACAUUGCUAUGGACCUAAAAGAAGCAGCAGCAUGGCCAGAAUCUUCCCCAACCUUCUCUGGACCUCCAUUCGCAUAUUCUCUGAAUAGGGGACAUUUUGAGGGCUAAGAUUGUGGUAAAUUGUUCUAGCUCUUUUUCAGAUCACUCAUAUCAUUGAAGUUGGAGGCUUGGAAGUGCUGAGAAGCUAUUGCUCAUUCAGCUCUGACUUUGGAAUCAUCUCAAUACCCUGAAAAAAUCCAGAAGCAAGAAACAGCCCUAAGGCAUAGACUGUCGUCUUUAAAUCCAGCUUUCCAGUAAAAGGAAUCAGGACUUCUUAGAUAAAUGGCUGACUCAGAGUCUACAUCAAGAAUUUUACAAAAUGAACUUGAAAUAUUCACAAGAAAUUUACAGGAUUAACUUGAAAUAUUCUAGUAUACCUGAAAGCAAGGAAUUCAUCAAAGGAAGAAGAGCCAAGAGCUACUAGCCAAAGACAAGAUAGCUUGAAAAUCACAAAGAAUAAUGACUGCGAUUGACCUAAAUCACAAAAUAUAUUAAAGUCCCUGUGUACCUAAAAAAAAACAGAAAUAGCAAAAGACAAAGCAGAACAUAAAUUAUUGGUCUCCAUAGAGUUUACUAGGGCACACUCUGAUUAUUUUAAGAAUUGAAAAUGAGAAAGAAUUUAAAGACUUAUUCAGCUCUUCUUCAAGGAGUUUCUUAGUUGCUAAACUGGAUAAAGAGAAAUCCUUGGGUAUGAAUCAAGGCAAAUGACUGCAGGAGAAUGACAAAACUAAAUGACCUUGCUAUUUUGUAACAUCCAAUGAAAAAAUGUAGCAGUAGAUUUUAAGAUAUAUAGGUGAAAAUUUGACUGAUGACUUUAUAAUAGAUGGAUGAUACUAUAGUUUCCUAUUACUAUUCAAUCUGCACAGUACUAAAUUACAAAAACAAGAUACGCCAUGUGUCUUGAUGGAACACAAGGAGAUAUACAACAGCAGACUCAAUAAGCAGUGCUUGCUACCUAUUUACAGGAAAUUCAGAAAUACAGCAAGAAACUUGUUUAAAGAAAAUCAAGGAAACAUAGCCAAUUAAAUCCCUAUUAUGUGAAUGUGUGAAAUUCUACAGGCUAAAUGGGGUACUCAUAAACAUAUCAAUGGGAGAGAGAGGAAGGCAUUGGGGUGGCAAGGGAAAAUGGUGACACCUAAGACAGAAUGCAAAUUAACAUACUAUUAUCAGAGCUAUAAAGGACAUACUAGCCACAUGCAAUAUGUGGAUCUUGUUUAGACCAUGGUCUUAAUAAAUAAACUGUGAAAAGAUAUAUCAGAUAUUUCAUAAAUUUUUCAAUUAACUUAAGUGUGAUACAGGAUCAUUUUCUAACAUUUCUUAUCUGUUAAUUAUAUGCUCUGAAGUAUUUACCAUUUGAAGCUAUUCAGAAAAUCAAACUGUAUUGGGGGAAUUGAUGAAAUAGUAAGAACAAAAAGUUGAUAUUUGUUGAAACUUCAUUAUGGGCACAGGGAUAUGAGUUGAUUCUUUAUGUUUCCAUAUGUAUACAUAAAUUUCCAUAGUAAAAAGUGACACAUUUCAAAGUGGCAUCUUUUCAUUGCUAAAAAAUUUAAAGUUUACUUGUUAGUGAAGAAGUGCUUU